AAACCAGCACCUCAAGUGGUCAGGAGGAUUAUUGGGCCUAAAGCAUCCGUAGCCUGUUCUAUAAGUUUCCGGUUAAAUCCAUUAGCUCAACUAAUGGGCUGCCGGAAAUACUGUAGAACUAGGGAGUGGGAGAGGUAGACGGUAUUCGGUAGGAAGGGGUAAAAUCCUUUGAUCUAUUGAGGACCACCUGUGGCGAAGGCGGUCUACCAGAACACGUUCGACGGUGAGGGAUGAAAGCUGGGGGAGCAAACCGGAUUAGAUACCCGAGUAGUCC
rnacentral:rRNA from 1 species